rnacentral:lncRNA from 1 species
UGAUUUUAUCUCUUCAGAAAACAUAAAUAUAAAUUGUAUUCAAAUAUGCAUAUUACACAAAGAUGCAUUACACAUAUUGCAAGAGACAUUCACACAUAUUUUUGGUUGGUGAUUUAGCCUGAAUUUGCUAACAAUGGCAUGGUGUCUACUUUGAUUUUGUUUAGCUGGAAUAAUCAAGUAUUAGUCCAUUCUUUCACUGCUAUUAAAUACCUGAGACUGGGUAGUUUAUAGGGAAAAGAAGAUUAAUUGGCUGAAGGUUCUGCAGACUGUAUGAGAAGCAUAGUGGCUUCUGAGAAAACCUCAGGAAAGUUAGAAUCAUGGUGGUGUAGGAGGACUAGCCACAGACAAAACCACUCAGACACCGGGUUAAGAAGGAAGUGGCUUUAUUUGGCCAGGAGCAUCAGCAGACUUGCAUGUCAAGAACUGAGCUCUCUGAAGAAAGAGUUCCUGGCCCUUUUAAGAACUUACAACUCUAAGGGGUUCACGUGAAAGGGUUGUGAUAGAUUGACAUUCAGAGAUAGCAUAUGUGAUUAGAGGGGGGCUAAUCUUUAACCUCUCUCUUCAUUCCCCCAUUUGAGAACCUUACUCACUAGUGGGAGGUCUCACUCUCAUCUUCACUACCCAGGUCUUUCUGCAAGACAGAUCGACAGUGAUUCAUGUAAUACACUUGUGUAUUACAAGACAUUCAUGUAAUACAUUUGUGCUGAAGUUUUCUGAUGAACCAAGGUAGUAACAAAACUUCUUAGAAGUUGGAGAAAUAUGGGUAACAAACAAAGGAGCAAUAGGAGGGUUGCAGCUGGAGAUCUGGGGAGGAGCUGGUGUUUUUUAGUUUGAGGGUCAUGCAGCUAUAGACCCUGGGAGGAGCAGGAGUUUCUUUAGUUUGAGGGUUGGGCAGCUGCAGAACCCGGGAGAAUCUGAUGUUCUGGUUUGAGGGUCCUGCAGCUGGAGACCCAGAGAGCAGCUGGUGUUUCUUUAGUUUGAUGGCCGUGCAGCUGUAGAACCCAGGGGGAGCUGGUAUUUUUCUAGUAUGAGUGUCCUGCAGCUGGAGACCUGGAGAAGAGCUGAUGUUCUAGUUUGAGGGUCGUGCCGCUGAAGACUCAGGGAGAAGCUGAUGUUCUCGUUUGAGGAUACUGCAGCUGGAGACCUGGAGAGGAGCUGAUGUUAUUCUAGUUUGAGGAUCAUGGAGCUUGAGAUCCACAGAGGAGCAGGUAUUGUUCUAGAUUGAGGUUCAUGUAGCUGAAGACCUGGGGAGCAGCGGGUGUUUUUUAGUUUGAGGGUCAUGCAGCUGUAGAACCCGGGAGGAGCUGGUGUUUUUCUAGUAUGAGUGUCCUGCAGCUGGAGACCUGGAGAGGAGCUGAUGUUGUUCUAGUUUGAGGGUUGUGCAGCUGAAGACUUGGAGGGGAGCUGAUGUUGUUCUUGUUGAGGGUCUUUCAGCUGGAGACCCAGAGAGGAGCUGAUGUGGUUCUAGUUUAAGGGUCAUGGAGCUGGAGACCCAGAGAGGAGCUGGUGUUGUUCUGAUUUGAGGUUCAUGCAGCUGGAGACAUGGAGAGGAGCGGGUGUUUCUUUAGUUUGAGAUUCAUGCAGCUGUAGAACCGGGGAAGAGCUGGCGUUUUUCUAGUAUGAGUGUCCUACAGCUGGAGACCAGGAGAGGAGCUGAUGUUCUAGUUUGAGAGCCAUGCGACUGGAGAUGCAAAGAGGAGCUGAUUUGGUUCUAGUUUGAGGGUCAUGGAGCUGGAGACCCAGAGAGGAGCUGGUGUUUCUUUAGUUUGAGGGUCAUACAGCUGUAGAACCCAUGAGGAGCUUGCAUUUUUCUAGUGUGAGUGUCCUGCAGCUGAAGACCUGGAGAAGAGCUGAUGCUUUCAAUUGAGGGUUGUGCAGCUUAAGACUCAGGGAGGAGCUGAUGUUCUAGUUUGAGGGCCAUGAGCUUAAGACCCGGGGAUGAGCUGAUGUUGUUCUGGUUUGAGGGUCAGGCAACUGAAGACCCGGGGAGGAGCUGAUGUUGUUCUAGUUUGAGGUUCAUGCAGCUGGAGACCUGGGGAGCAGCGGGUGUUUUUUAGUUUGAGGGUCAUGCAGCUGUAGAACCCGGGAGGAGCUGGCGUUUUUCUAAUAUGAGUAUCCUGCAGCUGGAGACCAGGAGAGUUGCUGAUGUUCUAGUCUGAAGGUCGUGCAGCUGAAGACGGGGGAGGGUUCUAGUUUGAGUGCCCUGCAGCUGAAGACUCGGGAAGGAGCUGAUGUUGUCCUUGUUUUACGAUCUUUCAGCUGGAGACUCAAAGAGGAGCUGAUGUUGUUCUAAUUUGAGUGUAAUGGAGCUGGAGACCCGGGGUGGAGCUGAUGUUGUUCUAGUUUGAGUGUUGUGCAGCUGGAGAUCCAAGAAGGAGGUGGUCUUGUGGUUCAAAUCUGAGGGUCCUGGAGCUGGAAUCUAUGGGAGGAGUCAAUGCUGCCACUGAUGUCUUAGAUUGUGCAGCAGAAGACCCACAGAGGAGCCGGUGUUGGUGUUCUAGUGUGAGGGUGUGGAUCUGGAGAUCCAUGGGGGAGUGACGUUCUUCUAGUUUUUGGGUUGUGGUGCUGGAGACCCAGGGAGGAGCUCAUGGUGUUCUAGUUGAGGGUCGUGGUGCUGGAGACCCAGGGAGGAGUCGAUCCUUCUGUUGUUUAAGUCUGAAGGUCAUCGAGCUGGAGAUCCGGGGAAGAGCUGGUGCUGCGGUUCAAGUCUGAGGGUCCUGGAGCUUGAGACCCCAGGAGGAGAUGGUGCUGCCACGAAUGUCUUAGGUUGUAAAGCUGGAGACCUGCGAAGGAGCCGGUGUUGCUGUUUUAGUGUGAGGUUUGUGGAGCUGGAGUCCCAGGGGGAAAAUGGUGUUUUUCUGGCUUAAGGGUCAUGCAGCUGACCCUCAGAUGACCUCAAACUAUAACAACACUGCUCCACCCUGGAUCUCCAGCUCCAAAAUCCUCACAAUAGAAAAACAUCUGCUCCUCCCUGAGUGUCCAGCUCCACGAUGCUCAAACUAGAUUAAAAUCAGCUCCUUCCCAGGUGUCCAGCUGCAUGACCCUCAAACUAGAAACACCCGGGGAGGUUUUAUUAGUUUGCUGCUGUUUUUCUAGAUUGAGGGUCAUGCAGCUGGAGACGUGGGGAGGAGCUGAUGUUGUUCGAGUUUGAGGGUCAUGGAGCUUGGAGACCCAGGCAGGAGCUGGUGUUUUUCUAGUUUGAGGGUUGUGCAGCUGGAGACCCAGGGAGAAGCUGAUGUUGCUCUUAUUUGAGAGCUGUGGAGCUGGAGACCUGGAGAGGAGCUGAUGGUGUUCUAGUUUGAUGGUUGCAGAGCUGGAGACCCAGGGAGGAGCUGUUGUUUUUCUAGUUUGAGUUUCGUGCAGCUGAAGACCAUUGGAGGAGCUGAUGUUCUAGUUUGAGGGUUGUGCAGCUGGAGAUACAGGGAGAAGGUGGUCUUGCAGUUUAAAUGUGAGGGUCUUGGAGCUGGAAUCCAUGGGAGGAGCCAAUGCUGCCACUGAUGUCUUAGGUUGUGGAGCUGAAGACCCGCAGAGGAGCCAGUGUUGGUGUUCCAGUGUGAGGUUCGUGGAUCUGGAGACCCACGGAGGAGCAGGUGUUGGUGUUCUAGUGUGAGGGUCAUGGAUCUGGAGAUCCAUGGGGGAGUGGUGUUCUUCUAGUUUGUGGGUUGUGGUGCUGGAGACCCAGGGAGGAGCUGAUUCUUUUGUUGUUUAAGUCUGAAGGUCGUCAAGCUGGAGAUCCGGGGAAGAGCUGGUGCUGCGAUUCAAGUCUGAGGGUCCUGGAGCUUGAGACCCCAGGAGGAGAUGGUGCUGCCACUAAUGUCUUAGAUUGUAAAGCUGGAGAUCUGUGGAGGAGCUGGUGUUUCUGUUCUAGUGUAAGGUUUGUGGAUCUGGAGUCCCAGGGGUGAGCAGUGUUGUUUUAGUUUGAGGGUCAUGGAGUUAGAGACCCGGGGAGGAGCUGAUGUUGUAGUUUGAGGGUCGUGCAGCUGGAGACCCAGGGAGGAGCUGGUGUGUUUCUAGUUGGAGGGUUGUGGAGCUGGAGAUUCAC